rnacentral:rRNA from 1 species
CACGAACUGCGCGAACGUUAUUCGGAAUCACUGGGCUUAAAGAGUGCGUAGGCGGCUUGACAAGUUGGGUGUGAAAUCCCUCGGCCUAACCGAGGAACUGCGCUCAAAACUGUCAGGCUUGAGGGAGACAGAGGUGAGCGGAACUGAUGGUGGAGCGGUGAAAUGCGUUGAUAUCAUCAGGAACACCGGUGGCGAAGGCGGCUCACUGGGUCUCUUCUGACGCUGAGGCACGAAAGCUAGGGGAGCGAACGGG